AAAACGGAAGGGGUAGUAGGAGAAGGAGAAGGAGAAGAAGAAGAAGAAGAAGAAGUAGAAGUAGAAGUAGUAGAGAAAGCGAGAGAGAGAGAGAGAAUUCGCGUUGGCGCAAGCGUUAGGGUGCUAGCGUGGAAAAGGUGGAAAGAUAGAGAUGGGCGAGAGUGUGUGCGCGUCUGUGCGUCUGUAUAUGUACGCGAGAGAGAGAGAGAGGGGUGGGGGAAGUGAGAGAGAGAUAGAGAUAGAUAGAUAGAUAGAUAGAGGGUGGGAUGUCGAAAAGGAGCCGCACAAACACGAAGAAAAGGACGCAGGCGCCCAGGACGAGCGGGGCGACGCUCGGCGACGACGCUGCAUUGGCAGUUGCACUCCAGCCACACCCGGUACGAGCCAUGUAGUCGGGCUACCCUCCACCGCGAUACACGGCGGACAAUUGUUGCUUCUGCGCCCACAGAACGCGAAGAAGAAAAACCAGCAGCCGGUGAAGAAGGACGAGGAGAGGAGACUCUUGCUAGAGGGACUAUCGACCAUACACGUAAGGCGGUACCGUACACACACCGAUAGACAAACACGGCGGACCUGUUGUCCAACUUGUUGCUCGUCCCUGCAAAAGGCACACCCACCCUCUUCGACGCUUGGCGACGUUUUUCGAAAAGAAAAAGGAAAAAAAAUUAAACGAAAGAAAGAAGGAAGGAAAGAAGGAAAGAAAUAAGGAAGCAAGGAAAGAACGCCAAAGACCGAGAGAGAACUCCUGUUAAAUCAUCAGACUUCAAUCCGUUCUCUACUACUACUACUACUGCUGCUGCCGCUAUUGUUAAUUUCUCAUUCUCUUGUCCUCUCUCUCUCUCUCUCUCUUUCUCUCUCUCUCUCUCUCUCUCUCUCUCUCUCUCUCUCUCUCUCUCUCUCUCUCUCUCUCUUUUGAUAACUCUGCAAAAGAACGUGGACGACGCUAUAAUAACAAAAGCGUUGUUACUACUACUGCUA